rnacentral:rRNA from 1 species
AUUGAACGCUGGCGGCAGGCCUAACACAUGCAAGUCGAACGAGUCGCGGGCGUGUGAGCUAUGUCUGUGCAAGUGCCUGAUGGAGGAGGAUAACUACUGGAAACUGUAGCUAAUUACGUCUACCAUCGCAUGUGCCCAGAUGGCAUUGGCUUGUGGGUGGGGUAACGGCUGACCAAGGCGACGAUCCCUAGCUGGUCUGAGAGGAUGACCAGCCACACUGGAACUGAGACACGGUCCAGACUCCUACGGGAGGCAGCAGUGGGGAAUAUUGCACAAUGGGCGCAAGCCUGAUGCAGCCAUGCCGCGUGUAUGAAGAAGGCCUUCGGGUUGUAAAGUACUUUCAGCGGGGAGGCGUUACCCGCAGAAGAAGCACCGGCUAACUCCGUGCCAGCAGCCGCGGUAAUUC